AGAGUUUGAUUCUGGCUCAGAUUGAACGCUGGCGGCAGGCCUAACACAUGCAAGUCGAACGGUAACAGGAAGCAGCUUGCUGCUUCGCUGACGAGUGGCGGACGGGUGAGUAAUGUCUGGGAAACUGCCUGAUGGAGGGGGAUAACUACUGGAAACGGUAGCUAAUACCGCAUAACGUCGCAAGACCAAAGAGGGGGACCUUAGGGCCUCUUGCCAUCGGAUGUGCCCAGAUGGGAUUAGCUAGUAGGUGGGGUAACGGCUCACCUAGGCGACGAUCCCUAGCUGGUCUGAGAGGAUGACCAGCCACACUGGAACUGAGACACGGUCCAGACUCCUACGGGAGGCAGCAGUGGGGAAUAUUGCACAAUGGGCGCAAGCCUGAUGCAGCCAUGCCGCGUGUAUGAAGAAGGCCUUCGGGUUGUAAAGUACUUUCAGCGGGGAGGAAGGGAAUAAAGUUAAUACCUUUGCUCAUUGACGUUACCCGCAGAAGAAGCACCGGCUAACUCCGUGCCAGCAGCCGCGGUAAU
rnacentral:rRNA from 1 species